AGCAGCCGCGGUAAUUCCAGCUCCAAUAGCGUAUAUUAAAGUUGUUGCAGUUAAAAAGCUCGUAGUUGAAUUUCGGGAUCAAUUAGUCGGUCGUGCCUCUGGUACGUACUGGUUUUAUUGGUUCCUCCCUUCUGACGAAACAUGAUGUCAUUAAUUUGGUGUCGUGGAGAAUCAGGACUGUUACCUUGAAAAAUUAGAGUGUUUAUAGCAGGCUAACGCUUGAAUACAUUAGCAUGGAAUAAUGAAAUAGGACGUUCGACCCUAUUUUGUUGGUUUCUAGGAUCGACGUAAUGAUUAAUAGGGAUAGUUGGGGGCAUUAGUAUUCAAUUGUCAGAGGUGAAAUUCUUGGAUUUAUUGAAGACUAACUACUGCGAAAGCAUUUGCCAAGGAUGUUUUCAUUAAUCAAGAACGAAAGUUAGGGGAUCGAAGACGAUCAGAUACCGUCGUAGUCUUAACCAUAAACUAUGCCG
rnacentral:rRNA from 1 species